UGUUAGGGAAGAACAAGUGCAAGAGUAACUGCUUGCACCUUGACGGUACCUAACCAGAAAGCCACGGCUAACUACGUGCCAGCAGCCGCGGUAAUACGUAGGUGGCAAGCGUUGUCCGGAAUUAUUGGGCGUAAAGGGCUCGCAGGCGGUUUCUUAAGUCUGAUGUGAAAGCCCCCGGCUCAACCGGGGAGGGUCAUUGGAAACUGGGAAACUUGAGUGCAGAAGAGGAGAGUGGAAUUCCACGUGUAGCGGUGAAAUGCGUAGAGAUGUGGAGGAACACCAGUGGCGAAGGCGACUCUCUGGUCUGUAACUGACGCUGAGGAGCGAAAGCGUGGGGAGCGAACAGGAUUAGAUACCCUGGUAGUCCACGCCGUAAACGAUGAGUGCUAAGUGUUAGGGGGUUUCCGCCCCUUAGUGCUGCAGCUAACGCAUUAAGCACUCCGCCUGGGGAGUACGGUCGCAAGACUGAAACUCAAAGGAAUUGACGGGGGCCCGCACAAGCGGUGGAGCAUGUGGUUUAAUUCGAAGCAACGCGAAGAACCUUACCAGGUCUUGACAUCCUCUGACAACCCUAGAGAUAGGGCUUUCCCUUCGGGGACAGAGUGACACGUGGUGCAUGGGUGUCGUCAGCUCGUGUCGUGAGAUGUUGGGUUAAGUCCCGCAACGAGCGCAACCCUUGAUCUUAGUUGCCAGCAUUCAGUUGGGCACUCUAAGGUGACUGCCCGUGACAAACCG
rnacentral:rRNA from 1 species